ensembl:lncRNA
GGGAGAGAGAGAGGGAGAGAGAGGGGGAGAGAGAGGGGGGGGGAAAGAGACUGGGGCAGAGAAAAAGGGACAGAUAGGAAAACGGCAGACCAGGGUUGUAUUUAUUGGGGGUGUGAGUGCCGCGCUGUAGGCUGUGGGAUGGUCGGGAGAGUGCAAGGUGUUGCUGUUAGGUGUGGUUGGGUUUACAGAAAGGGGAAGAGCAUGCAUAGAUAGAAUGGUGGAGUGAGGAAAAAAAAAGAGAGAGAUGGAAGGAUUGGUCAUGCGCAAGAGUGGUUUGUUUCAAGUCUCAGCUUCAGUCCCAUCACCCCUCUCCCUCCACGGUCAAGUUCAAGGAUCCCCCUAGAAACACAGAGGGUGGUGGCGGAGGGGGGUCGGCGGACGAGGUCAGCAGUUCCCUGGGACUAUAAAUGCUGAAGGAGUCGACUUGCUUCCCCUUUCUCCACCUCCCCAUUAUGUAAAACUGUGGAUUAGGUAUGUAGCCUGAGCUGGAAUGGAUGAAAAUAUUUACUGUGUACACACCAUCCACAAAUCCUUUCCCUCUCUUGAUCCCUGGCUUUUAUUGUUUCCCUUCUCUCCCUGCUUUUUACUCCUGUCUUUGAACACGUGCACGCUCUGACACAGAUACGUGAAGAUAUGUGAAUAAAGGUGUUUCUAACAUAGGCUACUGUCCUUCUCUUUUGUGUGGUUAUUACACAUAGUAUCAAAU